GAGCGUUGGACUUCCAUAAACUUUCUCUUUUAUCUCUUCUCGUGCUUCACUCUCCUCAGGAACUCCUUUUGUACUCUCCUCCAUUUUUCCUCUCCUUCAUGAUUCUCUCUCCUCACCGCUACCACUCCUCACCUGCUGCAACCACUGCACCGCCACCAUCUCCACGCUUCCAUCAUUUAUGCGUCGUCUCUUCUGCUUCAAUUUGGAGGAAUUAAAGAAAUUGUGAAAAGGUUUUCGCAAAAUCCACCGCUCCGCCACCACCCCGCCGACCUCCACCACUUUGACUACUACCACUCCGCCGACCGCCACCAUAUAUGCGCCCUCUUCUCUGGAUAUUUUCUGUGACUGCAAUAUGCUUCUGGAUGAGCUUUUUUCUCCAAGUGUGAUGCGGCGACUUAAAGUGUCACUAUUCAUGAAUAUGAGAAACCCUGUAAAGCUCUACUUCAACUGAUAAAAUUUGUGCAGAAAAAGUGCAGCCGUCUUGGACAAAUUAGUUAUUGUCUGCAACAAGAAGGAUGAAAUUUAUUCAGCAGAGGAAAACGAGUUCAUUUCACAGUUAGCAGGCUUUCCAAGAACCUUGCAGAAGGCAAAGGUUGUUUUUAGUAACUCAUAGCAAGGUGCGUAGGUGCAUCGUGGGUGUUUAUAAUUACUCCGUAGAUGAUAUCUUUUGUUUAGGAGAUAGGACCCCUGUUGCAAAAUUCAGUGUUGCUGCUACUGGUAGAGGCCUAGUGUUAAAAUCAGAGAUUGCUAGGAAAAUGGUUCAGUUGUAGUGAUUUUGGAUGUGGCAUUAGGUGCUGCUCUUUGAUAUUAUAGCAACUUGUUUGGUAAGUAGUAAAAGUAAUGAGUUUUAUGUAAUUUUGCAGAACUAGUUUCAUUAUUUCUCCCAGUUAUGUAUUUCCCUUUCUGCAUAGAUUUUCUAUAAUUCAAGGCAGCAUUAGAUUUUA